CUAAUGUCGGGCAUCGUAUGAUCAGAUCGUGAUUUAAUCAAUUUAGCAGGUCCGAUCUCCUUUCUCAAAGGAAACAAAUCCAAAUUAUGAUACUCGUAAAAAAAUCGGUUCCCCUAACUAUAAAGGCAGUGAUAGGAAGAGUAGUUUCAGGAACGAAGUGAAAGGCUGUUGGAAGGGUUUCAAGGAGUUUAUUACCAAACGAAUCCAGCUCUCUCGACUGGCUUUGAUAUUAGGACUUCUCUUGUUACUCUUAAUGGUAAUUUUGGCUAGCCUCUUAUUUUAUAAAUAUAUUGCGGUUCUGGC